rnacentral:ncRNA from 1 species
UCCCUGGUUGAUCCUGCCAGUAGUCAUAUGCUUGUCUCAAAGAUUAAGCCAUGCAUGUCUCAGUGCAAGCCGCAUUAAGGUGAAACCCGCGAAAGGCUCAUUAAAUCAGUUGUGGUUCCUUAGAUCGUACCCAAGUUACUUGGGAUAACUGUGGUAAUUCUAGAGCUAAUACAUGCCGACAGAGUUCCGACCGUCGCGGCGCCCUCGGGCGUCGCUCGCGGGAGGAACGCUUUUAUUAGAUCAAAACCGGCCCGUCGCGGCGCGCUUCGUGCGCGUCCCGAUCGCGGCCCGCGCAAAGACCUGGUGACUCUGAAUAACUUCGAGCUGAUCGCACGGUCUCCGUACCGGCGACGCAUCUUUCAAAUGUCUGCCUUAUCAACUGUCGAUGGUAGGUUCCAUGCCUACCAUGGUGGUAACGGGUAACGGGGAAUCAGGGUUCGAUUCCGGAGAGGGAGCCUGAGAAACGGCUACCACAUCCAAGGAAGGCAGCAGGCGCGCAAAUUACCCACUCCCGGAACGGGGAGGUAGUGACGAAAAAUAACGAUACGGGACUCAUCCGAGGCCCCGUAAUCGGAAUGAGAACACUUUAAAACCUUUAAACGAGGAUCAAUUGGAGGGCAAGUCUGGUGCCAGCAGCCGCGGUAAUUCCAGCUCCAAUAGCGUAUAUUAAAGUUGUUGCGGUUAAAAAGCUCGUAGUCGGAUCUGUGUCUGGACGGUGCCGGACCACCCUGGCGGUCCGUCGUGUCGCGGCCGGCCGUGUCGCGGGACCACGUGUCCCGUCGGCGCGGUCGCCGUCGCGCUCGUCAGCCGUCUCGGGGUGUUAGUUACCGGCACGUCGGCCG